ensembl:Y_RNA Y_RNA Y RNA
AGCUGGUCUAAUGGUGAUGACUUUUCUCAGUUGAGUGUUCACAUCAGUUACAGAUCAGACUUGUUCUACUCUUUCCUGCUUCUCACUACUGUACUUGACUGGUCUUAA